CACAAACAGAAGAGCAUCCCCUUCCUUUAUUUUACAAGAGUUUUGUACAAUCCAAACAGCUGCUGUGUUUCUAAACUGAUUUCUGAACAGCGUAUAAACAACACAAAAUAACAGACACAAAGGCAGAAACAAAAAGCCAAAAACCCUGUACAGAGUCCUGUAAACAAACCAACACAAAAAAAUGGAAACUCCAUAUCUCUGCCCGCUCAUGACCUCUGACCUUUUAGAACAGCAUAUGGAGACUGUUGCUACGAUACAAACAUAAAUAAAAGAAUCUGUGUCAAAGGCAGCACAUAUUUAAUGCUUCUUCAUUAAAAUAGUCACAAUCUGGAAAUCUGACAUUUAAAAAGGUGCAAAAGAGGAUGAGCAGGGCAAGAUCACAAGCUAAUUUCCAUACUAGAUAUGGAAGAACAAAGACGACAGUAAAAACUGAAAUGUCUUGAUUGUUUAGUCGUGUCAUACUGAAGCUCUUUUCAUGUUAUCAUCUUGAUAACACACACACACACACACACACACCAAACGCACCCAACCAUCUGUGCCUGGGCAGUAGAGUGUGUUGCACACCAUGUGUCCCACUGUUAUGUGUCAAACGAGCAUCGGCUGGCUCAUAUGGCACUGCCCCCGCGCACGUACACACACGCACACACACACAGAGCACUGACCUAGCCUCUUACACUCAAGUCUCAGAGUGUGUCAGCUCAACGGGAGCUCUUGAUUCAAAGCCCAGAACUUCCAGAGACUCAAAGUUCCAGUUUGAGAUCUCAAAGAUUCAGUGAUGCUUCCAGUACUGGCUUUAAGAACGUGAGUAGUUAAAGGCUUUCUACUUAAAUAAUCAAUAAAGUCCAUCAGUCUGUCCAUCUAUUUAAAGAACGGUGUGUGGCUGUUUUUUGAAAUGUAAUUUUAACACACUGCAUACUAUUAAAAAAAAUACUAAUAAUAACUUUUACUCCAGUUCAGUUUAAGAAACUCAAAUUACUGAAAGUUGAGAGUUUUAACAAAACUGGACUAUUAUUAUUUGGAGUUUAAUAUGAAUAAAAAAAAAUGAAAGUAUAUAAAUAUAUAGUUGCUGUAAUAAUACUAAUUAAUAACACUCCAACUUGAGUUUCUUAAACAAUAAUAUAUAUACAU
ensembl:lncRNA